AAUUAGGAACUCAUUGUCAAGUAAAAGUUUAGGUAAUUCUGAAUUAUAAGACCUGCACACUAGAUUUUAGGAAGGAAAGAAAGAACAGCCUUAUGAAAUGAACCUGAGUUUAAGACAUAAUCCUCUAAAUAAACCUCAAAGCAAUUAGCAAUGUGGUCAAAAGCUAUAUUCUAUUAACCAACAUUUGUAAGAGCACCAGCUUUUAGACCCUAU
rnacentral:misc_RNA from 1 species